GUAGAUACUGCUGCAUUCACUCUGCAGUUGUAGCUGCACACAGGAACACUUUGGAUCACCCUCUCUAUCUAUCUCUAUCACCAGUUUCUUGGAAGCUCGUGAACACUUGAAAAUUUUCAGACCCUGCCCUACCGCCAAAUUCUAUUGAAAACAGCCACCAUUUCCUGGGAUACAGACUGGCAGAGACAUGGCAGAUCCAUUUUGCCUCUUCAAGGGAUAAAGAAAUUGAGGAACUAACUCCAAGUGUAACUUCAUAUGGCUUACAUCUCUUCAUGAGAAUCCUCUAGAUUAGCAGGCACAUUUUGAAAAGCACAAUGAUAGUUUCCUUUGUAUAGUUGUCUCUCUUCAGAUCUCACAAAUAAUCACCAAGAAAAUUCUUAACUAAUAUGGAAUUUCUGCUUAGAUGGUCACAAAUUAACCAGAGAAGGGUGUGUGUUAGUUUAAACAAAUUACUCGCAUUUUCCAUUUUUGGUCUAGGGCAUAAGAAAUUAGAUAGUUAAUUUUAAAUGCAAAACUUUGUACAGCGUGCAAAUCAUGUCUGUAUGUCAAAGUAAAAUAACAAACCUAAUGAGGAAUGUUAAAAAAGCAAGACCCAUUAGUUUAAAGAUACAUGGAAUCAGCCAAAGAUGACAAACAUGCAUAAAAUUCAAAACAUGAUGGAAAAGGGAACAGGCACUGAACCACAUAAAUCAGUGUUUUGAAUUCUAUUUCUCUGUGGGUAUAAUUGUACCUUAGUUUCUUAUAAUGAUUUAUUGAGGUAAAUAGUCUGUAUGGUUUAACAGCUACAGCUUCAAAGUGUCAGGCACAGACUCUCCUUUAUUCAUGAGGCAGCUGAGUAUUGGGAUGUGAAUUAGCUUCUGUAUUCUGGGACUUGGCAAAGUUUGUUUUUAAGGUCCUUAUAAAGGAUUCAUGUUGAUGCAGCUAUUCAAAUGUGAAAAACACUGUGCUGCAAUGGAUGAAAUAGAAAAGCUUUACAGUAAUUCUGGAGGCUAAAAAAGUAAAAACACUGAAAUAAACCAUUCAGAAUUACCUUCAGCAAAAGAAAGGAAUGGCAUAGAGUUAAUUCUAAUACAUUAUAUCGUUUUGAGGAAAAUGAAAAAACUAAUUUCUUGAUGAAGUACAAAAGUGUGAUGGGAUCCCAGAAUUUACUUCUAAGCUAAAACAGAGUGUGAAAAAGAAAUGGUAGAAGUUUAAGCUGUGAUAUUCACAUUUUGGGUUGAUUGCCAAACCACACGUUCUAUUGCUCUCAGACCAGGAUAAACCAACCAUUAACUAAUCAAAAGAAUCAUCAUCCAUGAAAGAUAUGAUGGCAUUUUAACAGUUCUUAAUCUAUUAAUAAGAAAUAAUAAUUUGCAAAAUAUAUUCCCUCUUCUGUUUAUAUUCAUAGAGCCAUUCUUAGCAGAAAUUAUAUGUAGGCUCCCAUGGAGUAGAAACCCUAUGAAAGCCAUGAAAAUGCACUAAGCUUCCUUACGUACUGUGCCAAGAUAUUCAGCAGGAACUUUGGUCGUUGCCAAGAAACACGUGUGCCUCAGAUACAGAAGCUCUGCAUGUACCGGUAUUUCAACAUUCCUGGAGAGAAAUGUGACCCCUUGAUGCAUACACUGGUUUGCUGGCAUGCUUGCAUUCCUCCCCAUCUGUCAGAGUGGCAUUCUGCCUUCUUACAAGGUGGGAUGCCAGUUUUGGAGCACAGGUGCCAACCAAAUAUAGGUUCAGACUAAUACUCUGCAAAAUGUGGCAAAUGACAUUUCACCUGCAAGAUCAUUCUACCUCUGACUCAUGCCAAAUUAGGAUUGCAUGCUUCAUUAGCAAAGGGGGUCAUCAGCUGAAAAUCAUAGGCAGCACCAGAAAUACUGGUUUUCUGUAUAAAAUCUCCUAGCUGAGAGUUUUCAGCACUAAGGUUUAAUUUACAAUACACCAAAUUUUCCUAACAUUGCAGACAUACAGCCCUUGUGAGAAAGCUGCGACAGACCAUGGACAGAGAUCUGUUGAAUUCAUCCUCCUAGACUAAUAUCUCACAAAUUCCAAGAUUCUUAAACAGGGCAAAUAAAUAAACGGUGGGGGAAGGCAUAAGUAAAGAUUUGUGUUACCUAUAAGGGGUUCGCUAACAACACAAAGAAAACCACCUUUACUAUGACUGUCAAAAAAAACAAACCAAAACCACUUGUGCUCAUAUUAUUCUAAAAUUCUUAAAUUAUAAUUUAAAAUGUUAUUCUUAAAAUUGACACGAUAUAAAAAAUUCUUAGCUUUUAGUGUAAGAAUUUAUGUACAUGUGAAAGCCCACUAGUCAUGAACAAUCAUUAUACAAAAACCAUCCAACAUACAAUGAAAACACGGGAUAAUAUUACAUGGUGUUUCAAUAUUCUCAGAAUAAAAUAUAUUUUGAACUCUUUCAUUAAUGAAUGUACUCCACAGUAAAUUAAUCUAACAAGAAAAGUUAAAUAUUCAGUUGAUCAAUAAACAGAAUAACUGCAAA